rnacentral:rRNA from 1 species
GGGGAAUUUUCCGCAAUGGGCGAAAGCCUGACGGAGCAACGCCGCGUGAGUGAAGAAGGUCUUCGGACUGUAAAGCUCUGUCCUUAGGGAAGAAAAAUUUCUAGAGGUAAUGCUAGGAAUCUGACGGUACCUAGGGAGGAAGCACUGGCUAACUACGUGCCAGCAGCCGCGGUAAUACGUAGAGUGCAAGCGUUGUCCGGAAUCAUUGGGCGUAAAGGGUACGCAGGCGGAUAAUCAAGUCAAGCGUGAAAGGUGUCGGCUUAACCGACAGACUGCGUUUGAAACUGGUUAUCUUGAGUGUAACAGAGGAGAGUGGAGUUCCUAGUGUAGUGGUGAAAUACGUAGAUAUUAGGAAGAACACCAGUGGCGAAGGCGACUCUCUGGGUUAACACUGACGCUGAGGUACGAAAGCUGGGGGAGCGAAUGGGAUUAGAUACCCCAGUAGUC